rnacentral:lncRNA from 1 species
UGCUCCCAUCAUAUUGAGAGAGGAUCAACAAAGGGGCAAUCAAGUCUUUCAAGAGUUUUGAAGUAAAAGUAACUUCUUCAAAGUGAAGAUUUCUCAUAGGUGGUCAGUGUUCAGGAUACCUCGCGGUGUCCACCUUUUCACCAGUUUGAAACAAGAUCAGAAGGAGAAGGGAUUCUGUGGUGGCUUUCAACAGGAAGGGAUUGCAAGAGCAGAAAGAUGUAUUCACCUCUACUUCUCUGACAAGGAUCCUGGUGUGGUGAAUAGGAACAAAAACCAUGUGACGGGUGAAGAUUUAGUGAGAAUAAGAUUUAUGUAGACAAAAAAAGAGGAGCCUGCUGUUCCUAUCAACUCUUGCAGUUAUUUGUCAACUGUUUCUGUAAAUUCAUUAAAUAUGCACAACUGGCAGAACAAAACAAGUCUACAAAGAGACACAAAGGUACCAUUCUGGCAGCCUGUCUCCAUCUAUUUCAAGUUAAUUGUGGCAUACUUUAAGUGCUUUGUAUGAAAUAAAGUGAAAUAAAAUCAUCA